AUGAUUUGUAAGGUCCAUAAACGUUCUAUAUAGUGGAGAGAAUAUAAAUAGAUAAGUUUCAAUUAAAUGUUAAUGAUUAGAAGUAGAACAAGAUGGCGAAAUUCGAAACAAAUAUGCUGAACCUAUUUCUCCUGAUUCUUGCAAUUGCUCAUAUGAGUUUAGCUUCCAUUUGCAUUCCUGAUUGCACUGAUGCUGAAUGUAGACAAAAUACUUGCCUUGAAGGCACAAGACCAGUAUUUGUAAGGUGUGAUUGUUGCGAAACGUGUGAAAGAGUUUUAAAAAAAGGAGAAACCUGUACGAUACGAGCUGAACCUUUGCUUCAACCUGAAAUAGGCUCAGGAGAUCGAGUUUCAAUCAGUUAUCCCCGUUGUGGCUUCGGUCUUCGCUGCGAUUCUCAAGUACGAACAUGUGUUUAAGACUUCCACUGUACUAAAAAUGCUAUUUAUUUAGGGUAAAGAAAUAAAAUAUUAUGAAGUUUGAAA